rnacentral:rRNA from 1 species
UUGAACGCUGGCGGCAGGCCUAACACAUGCAAGUCGAGCGGUAGCACAGAGAGCUUGCUCUCGGGUGACGAGCGGCGGACGGGUGAGUAAUGUCUGGGAAACUGCCUGAUGGAGGGGGAUAACUACUGGAAACGGUAGCUAAUACCGCAUAACGUCGCAAGACCAAAGUGGGGGACCUUCGGGCCUCAUGCCAUCAGAUGUGCCCAGAUGGGAUUAGCUAGUAGGUGGGGUAACGGCUCACCUAGGCGACGAUCCCUAGCUGGUCUGAGAGGAUGACCAGCCACACUGGAACUGAGACACGGUCCAGACUCCUACGGGAGGCAGCAGUGGGGAAUAUUGCACAAUGGGCGCAAGCCUGAUGCAGCCAUGCCGCGUGUGUGAAGAAGGCCUUCGGGUUGUAAAGCACUUUCAGCGGGGAGGAAGGCGAUAAGGUUAAUAACCUUGUCGAUUGACGUUACCCGCAGAAGAAGCACCGGCUAACUCCGUGCCAGCAGCCGCGGUAAUACGGAGGGUGCAAGCGUUAAUCGGAAUUACUGGGCGUAAAGCGCACGCAGGCGGUCUGUCAAGUCGGAUGUGAAAUCCCCGGGCUCAACCUGGGAACUGCAUUCGAAACUGGCAGGCUAGAGUCUUGUAGAGGGGGGUAGAAUUCCAGGUGUAGCGGUGAAAUGCGUAGAGAUCUGGAGGAAUACCGGUGGCGAAGGCGGCCCCCUGGACAAAGACUGACGCUCAGGUGCGAAAGCGUGGGGAGCAAACAGGAUUAGAUACCCUGGUAGUCCACGCCGUAAACGAUGUCGAUUUGGAGGUUGUGCCCUUGAGGCGUGGCUUCCGGAGCUAACGCGUUAAAUCGACCGCCUGGGGAGUACGGCCGCAAGGUUAAAACUCAAAUGAAUUGACGGGGGCCCGCACAAGCGGUGGAGCAUGUGGUUUAAUUCGAUGCAACGCGAAGAACCUUACCUGGUCUUGACAUCCACAGAACUUAGCAGAGAUGCUUUGGUGCCUUCGGGAACUGUGAGACAGGUGCUGCAUGGCUGUCGUCAGCUCGUGUUGUGAAAUGUUGGGUUAAGUCCCGCAACGAGCGCAACCCUUAUCCUUUGUUGCCAGCGGUUCGGCCGGGAACUCAAAGGAGACUGCCAGUGAUAAACUGGAGGAAGGUGGGGAUGACGUCAAGUCAUCAUGGCCCUUACGACCAGGGCUACACACGUGCUACAAUGGCAUAUACAAAGAGAAGCGACCUCGCGAGAGCAAGCGGACCUCAUAAAGUAUGUCGUAGUCCGGAUUGGAGUCUGCAACUCGACUCCAUGAAGUCGGAAUCGCUAGUAAUCGUAGAUCAGAAUGCUACGGUGAAUACGUUCCCGGGCCUUGUACACACCGCCCGUCACACCAUGGGAGUGGGUUGCAAAAGAAGUAGGUAGCUUAACCUUCGGGAGGGCGCUUACCACUUUGUGAUUCAUGACUGGGGUG